ensembl:lncRNA
AUUCCAUGCUGUCUGUCAGUUGGUUCUUCUUCUCUGGUUUUGGAAGCAGCGUAGAGUAUAAACCAACACAUUCCAUGCUGUCUGUCAGUUGGUUCUUCUUCUCUGGUUUUGGAAGCAGCGUAGAGUAUAAACCAACACAUUCCAUGCUGUCUGUCAGUUGGUUCUUCUUCUCUGGUUUUGGAAGCAGCGUAGAGUAUACACCAACACAUUCCAUGCUGUCUGUCAGUUGGUUCUUCUUCUCUGGUUUUGGAAGCAGCGUAGAGUAUACACCAACACAUUCCAUGCUGUCUGUCAGUUGGUUCUUCUUCUCUGGUUUUGGAAGCAGCGUAGAGUAUACACCAACACAUUCCAUGCUGUAUGUCAGUUGGUUCUUCUUCUCUGGUUUUGGAAGCAGCGUAGAGUAUACACCAACACAUUCCAUGCCGUCUGUCAGUUGGUUCUUCUUCUCUGGUUUUGGAAGCAGCGUAGAGUAUACACCACCACAUUCCAUGCUGUCUGUCAGUUGGUUCUUCUUCUCUGGUUUUGGAAGCAGGGUAGAGUAUACACCAACACAUUCCAUGCUGUCUGUCAGUUGGUUCUUCUUCUCUGGUUUUGGAAGCAGCGUAGAGUAUACACCAACACAUUCCAUGCGGUCUGUCAGUUGGUUCUUCUUCUCUGGUUUUGGAAGCAGCGUAGAGUAUACACCAACACAUUCCAUGCUGUCUGUCAGUUGGUUGUCUCUCUCAAAAAAGGUGUUGAACACAAGCAGAUCUGGGAUCCAGGCUACCAACCUGCCUUGUGCUUCCUGCUGUCUAACACUUCAUGAUAGACGGACCGACGCUUCAUUAAUUCUACUCUGUCCACCAGCACAGCAUUUAAACUGCUUUUAUUUUGACAAACAAACGGGGCACUGAGCCUGGGGGACGAGGUGUCGUCUCUAGUCACUGAGCCUGGGGGACGAGGUGUCAUCUCUAGUCACUGAGCCUGGGGGACGAGGUGUCAUCUCUAGUCACUGAGCCUGGGGGACGAGGUGUCAUCUCUAGUCACUGAACCUGGGGACGAGGUGUCAUCUCUAGUCACUGAGCCUGGGGACGAGGUGUCAUCUCUAGUCACUGAGCCUGGGGGACGAGGUGCCAUCUCUAGUCACUGAGCCUGGGGACGAGGUGUCAUCUCUAGUCACUGAGCCUGGGGACGAGG